CCUACGGGAUGCAGCAGUAGGGAAUCUUUCACAAUGGGCGAAAGCCUGAUGGAGCAACGCCGCGUGCACGAUGAAGGCCUUCGGGUUGUAAACUGCUUUUAUAAGCGAGAAAUAUGAUGGUAACUUAUGAAUAAGGAUCUGCUAACUACGUGCCAGCAGCCGCGGUCAUACGUAGGAGCCGAGCAUUAUCAGGAGGGACGGGGUGUAAAGAUUUGCGUAGAUGGCAUAGUAAGUAGCUAGUGAAAUCUGUUGGCUCAACAAUUCAGACUAUUAGCUAAACUACUAAUCUAGAGACAGAUAGAGGUAACCGGAAUUUCUAGUGUAGGAGUGAAAUCCGUAGAUAUUAGAAGGAACACCAAUGGCGUAGGCAGGUUACUGGGACGGUUCUGACACUAAGGGACGAAAGCGUAGGGAGCAAACGGGAUUAGAUACCCUUGUAGUC
rnacentral:rRNA from 1 species